UUAAGUCCGUAACGAGCGCAACCCUUGUCCUUAGUUACCAGCACGUUAUGGUGGGCACUCUAAGGAGACUGCCGGUGACAAACCGGAGGAAGUGGGGAUGACGUCAAGUCAUCAUGGCCCUUACGGCCUGGGCUACACACGUGCUACAAUGGUCGGUACAAAGGGUUGCCAAGCCGCGAGGUGGAGCUAACCCCAUAAAACCGAUCGUAGUCCGGAUCGCAGUCUGCAACUCGACUGCGCGAAGUCGGAAUCGCUAGUAAUCGUGAAUCAGAAUGUCACGGUGAAUACGUUCCCGGGCCUU
rnacentral:rRNA from 1 species